rnacentral:tRNA from 1 species
GCCGCAGUAGCUCAGCCGGUAGAGCAGCGCAUUCGUAAUGCGCGGGUCGGGGGUUCGAAUCCCUCCUGCGGCACC